rnacentral:rRNA from 1 species
GUGAUUCAUAAUAACUUAACGAAUCGCAUGGCCUUGUGCCGGGCGAUGGUUCAUUCAAAUUUCUGCCCUAUCAACUUUCGAUGGUAGGAUAGUGGCCUACCAUGGUUUCAACGGGUAACGGGGAAUUAGGGUUCUAUUCCGGAGAGGGAGCCUGAGAAACGGCUGCCACAUCCAAGGAAGGCAGCAGGCGCGCAAAUUACCCAAUCCCGACACGGGGAGGUAGUGACAAUAAAUACUGAUACAGGGCUCUUUUGGGUCUUGUAAUUGGAAUGAGUACAAUUUAAAUCCCUUAACGAGGAACAAUUGGAGGGCAAGUCUGGUGCCAGCAGCCGCGGUAAUUCCAGCUCCAAUAGCGUAUAUUAAAGUUGUUGCAGUUAAAAAGCUCGUAGUUGAACUUCAGACCUGGCUGGAUGGUCUGCCGAAAGGUAUGUACUGUCCGGCUGGGCCUUACCUCUUGGUGAGCCGGCAUGCCCUUCAUUGGGUGUGUCGGGGAACCAGGACUUUUACCUUGAGAAAAUUAGAGUGUUCAAAGCAGGCUUAUGCCUGAAUACAUUAGCAUGGAAUAAUAAAAUAGGACGUGCGGUUCUAUUUUGUUGGGUUUCUAGAAAGUCGCGCGUAAUGGAUUAAUAGGGAUAGUUGGGGGGCAUUUAGUAUUCCAGUUGCUAGAGGUGAAAUUCUUGGG